UUGGGAUGUUGUUGCUCUGAAUACGAGUUGGUAACAACAACUUCGCAGUGUAUACCCCUGCAGACAUGGCGGGUAUGAUACUGUAGGUAGUUCCUGGUUACUGAAGUGCAAAGGGCUCGGGUACUCCUAGCAGAUGCAACCGGUAUGUUCUCUUCUGCCUUUCUAAAGAGAAGUAAGGGGACGGAGCUGGAAGCUACACUGAGCAAAU